GAUGAACGCUGGCGGCGUGCUUAACACAUGCAAGUCGAACGAUGAAGCCCAGCUUGCUGGGUGGAUUAGUGGCGAACGGGUGAGUAACACGUGAGUAACCUGCCCUUGACUCUGGGAUAAGCCCGGGAAACUGGGCCUAAUACCGGAUAGGAGCGCCUGUCGCAUGACGGGUGUUGGAAAGAUUUUUCGGUCAUGGAUGGACUCGCGGCCUAUCAGCUUGUUGGUGAGGUAAUGGCUCACCAAGGCGGCGACGGGUAGCCGGCCUGAGAGGGUGAACGGCCACACUGGGACUGAGACACGGCCCAGACUCCUACGGGAGGCAGCAGUGGGGAAUAUUGCACAAUGGGCGGAAGCCUGAUGCAGCGACGCCGCGUGAGGGAUGACGGCCUUCGGGUUGUAAACCUCUUUCAGUAGGGAAGAAGCGAAAGUGACGGUACCUGCAGAAGAAGCACCGGCUAACUACGUG
rnacentral:rRNA from 1 species